UCGCCCGAGCGGCGGCCGCGAGGGACGCGGGCCCGGGACGUUUAAAGGGCAAAUUAAAGUUAUCUGGUGCCUGCUGGGAACCGCGGUGUCAGAGCAUGUGCCCGCUGUAUUUAUAGCUCCCGGGAGGCACCGGAGGGAGCGUGGGGAGCUGGCAGGAGCGGUUCAGGCCGUACUAAGCGUUCCGUGCGGGCGAGAGGCAGCGGCUGAGGGCUGAAAGGCUCCCCGGAGCGGUCUGACAGUGCCACCGGCCAGCUGAGAGUGCGUUAAGCCUUGCCCUCAUGUGCGUGGGCUCACGCAGAGAGGGGCGACAUGGAUGUCGUGCCCAACAACAAAGCUCCCCAGGGAUGCACUGCCAGCCUGGAAGGCGGUGCUGUGUUCAUAGGCAUCAGUGACCAGGACUGGACCUCUCUUGAGUCAAGGCCAGAGAGCUGCUUCAUGCUGUACGCACCGUGUGGAACUUGCAGGCAUUGAGGUCUUUAAAUACCCCAGCAUGCUCUGGGACUCGGCUUUCCCGAGGAGGAGACAACAUGCCUUUCUGCAUUGUACCCUCAUUUCACCCCUGCAAGGUCUGGUGUCUCCUCUUUUCAUGGGAAAGCAAACACCCCUUUAACACCCCCAGGCUUCUGCUGCUGGUUUCACACAGACCUCCGGCUAGUGAUGCUCAAAGCUGCUGCCUGACUACACAGAUUGACAAGGUGUGCACUCAGGUGUCAGCUCUUCUGACUGGUGUAUGUUCACUGCCAGAGAUAUGCUUCUCAUGGUGUUCACCAGAUCUCUUGGAAGGUGUGACAGCUGUGAACAGUAUCAGCAAUGCCUGGGCAGGUGUGUGAUCAGAACAAAGCCAAGCUAUGGCUGAAGCCUUCUUUAUGUUCUGUAAGACACAACUUUCUCUUCAAAUGUGUUUUAUGUCCUGAUCAGGAAAUAAAGUUCUUCACUGAGCUCUCUGCUUACCUAGUGGGGUUUUUAAAAAUGUUUAUCUGUUUCGUAAACUGGAGAAAUGCUGGAUUGUGUGAAUGCAGAAUUCAGAUGCACCUGCUGAAGUUCCAUGACCUAGAAAAUAGGUCUGAUUUCUUUUCAGAGCUUGGCAAAACAAAGCUAUUAAAAAGUGAAAGUAUUAAUAUAGACUUAUUUGACCUGAAAUUUACAAUAUGCUCUUCUUCAGAAAAUCUGGGUUGGGAGAAUGUCUAGUAUGACAUUCUUCCCAGCUCUCUUUGCGUAGUGCAACAUUCUUUACAUCAUUCAUGCAAUAUCCUGUGUGAUGACUCUCAUGUUCAGCUUUCCAUAGCUCUGGUGACUCUUGCAUAAUUUUUAAUUGCCUGCCUCUUCUUAGAGUUGUAGGGACUUAUUCUUUCUUAUUAGGUCCACAUAAACCAGUAAUUACCAUUUUAAAUCAUUGAUACAACAUUUGUACAAGUCAGAGUAUAUGAGGAAAUCUCAUGUAGCGUUUUAAGUAGGGUUUUAUUUUCUAUUUUGCUCAAGCUUACUUUUCUAAAUAUUGUGUUAGUAUAAAUCUUAAUGGGAUAAUGCAAAUCUUUGCUCUAUUCAAUUCAAAUUGGUCUUUGCUCUUUUUGAUACAUCUUUUUAUCAUCAUUCAUGUUGCAGUAAUUUUGGAGUAUCAAAAAUUAUUGAAGUUGAUCUUUUUAUGUUAUGUUUGUUUUGUUUAUCUUUUGGUUUCUAUUUUCUAAGUUGUUUCUGUGUGUGAUUUUACUGUUCUAGGUAUUUUUAAAAUUCAUUGUUUCAGGCAAACAGAUUAGAAUUGUUAAAUUAUUUAAGUGAUUUAUUUGUUUUCCAUCUGCUGCUUCUGACAAUACAUCUGGUUAUAAUAUAAUAACUUUCUUUUAUUUAAAAAGUGUCAAUAUUGUUAGCCCUUGCUCAAGUUGUUACCUCUUUGUUUUCAGAUAUUUUGUAGAGUUUCUCAUGCUGUGAUUUUACUUGACUAGUCUUUCUUCUGUGAAAUAGUUCAUAAUAGUCCAUAAUUUUCUUGCUGACAGUAAUUUUUUUUCAUAUGUUGUAGGACAUUCUUUUUGACAGUAGUACAUAUUUAAUGGAAUCACAGCUUUGUGCACAGUCAGAUAACUGCAUUGCAAUAGCAAAACAAAGUAAUAAUAUUUUUAUAAUACAGAAACAAUUUCAUGCAUUAAAUGUAGAUGUAAUUUUUAUGCAUACUUUUACUAGCUAUUAGCACAACAGUUUUAAUAGAAUUUCAAGGUUUUUUUUGAGUAAGUAAGAAAUUAAUAAAUUGUGUUACUUAGUGAAGAGACAUCAAUUUUUUGUCACCCUACAUGCUGGUUGAAUAGGCCACAAUUACAUUGAUGUUAUAAUUUACAUUGUAUUGGUUACAAUACCAGAAAUGUGUUGGUUUUUUUUUUUUAAAUUGAAAUAUUAAUGUGUCUAUAUUUUGCAAGAAAAUGGCAAAUUAAGGUCAGUUCCAUGCCACACAUUAUUAAAAUGCAUGAACAAAAAAAAGGUCUGCUGGAAAGCCAAAAUCCCAGAAAUUGGAAUGCUGAUAUUGAAGAUGACAACUGCCCAGCUAAAGAGUGAGAAAACUGGGUGAGAAAGUCUUUAGAUGCCAGAGUUUAUGGUUUUUAUGGUAUCAAAACUCAUGUCCCUUCAUAGAGUAUUUCAGUGCUUCAGAACUCACUGUGGAAAAAAUCCCGUUUGAGUCCCAGGUCCAAAAAUGACUUUGAAUUUUCCCUGCUGAGCUGUUAUACUGGAUAUGAAAGGGAACAAAUUAUGGGGACAGAAGCAGAAGUCAGGAAACAAUUAGGUUACAUGGUAUAUUACCUCAGCUUGAUAAAAAAACCAAUCUGUAUUUCAUUCAUUCCUGGAGAAUGACUGCCAGUUUCUGAUUCACUGGGAAUUCAGUUUAAUACUUUCUUAUAAAUCUUAAGAAAUAAAUGAGAUAGUGUAUUAACAUA